CUGUUUAAACAAUUCAAUGGUUUCAAUUUACAGUUGUGUGGAAUGCGGAGCGGAUUUGAAUCUAAGGAACAGCCAACUCUUUCCUCCCGAUUUCUAUUUCGAGGCUGGGAACAAAGGGACUCUCUCUUUUGCUGCAAUUGAUGAAACCAAAUUCAGAUUUCAGAAAGAAGAUAAAUUAAUACCUUUCUUUGAGACUGUAAAUUACUGGGGAAUUCAAAGGAAGAGAACCAAGAUCAAGUGCAUCAGCUGUGGUCAUCUUGUUGGGAAUAUUUACGAUGAUGGUCCUCCUCUCACUGACAGUCCUGGUCAGAUGCAUAUGGGUCCAAGUCAGGUUAUUCCUAGGGCACCAAGGUACAGGCUUAAGAUCAAAGCUCUCAAGAUUAUAUCAGAAACCUAGAUUUUCUUACUGAGUUUUAGGUUUUAGUAUAUGGGUUUUAUUGCAAUUCGAUUGUUGUCCAUUUACUUUUCUUUUUCCUCCUUGAUGUAGAUAUUGGUAUAAAAUACAAAGUUUCCUGUUUCCUUAUUCAAUUGAGAUUAAUUUCAGUUUUUUCAGUUCUUGAUUUUGAGUUUUUUUGUGU